rnacentral:rRNA from 1 species
AUUGAACGCUGGCGGCAGGCUUAACACAUGCAAGUCGAGCGGGGGAAGGUAGCUUGCUACUGGACUUAGCGGCGGACGGGUGAGUAAUGCUUAGGAAUCUGCCUAUUAGUGGGGGACAACAUCUCGAAAGGGAUGCUAAUACCGCAUACGUCCUACGGGAGAAAGCAGGGGAUCUUCGGACCUUGCGCUAAUAGAUGAGCCUAAGUCGGAUUAGCUAGUUGGUGGGGUAAAGGCCUACCAAGGCGACGAUCUGUAGCGGGUCUGAGAGGAUGAUCCGCCACACUGGGACUGAGACACGGCCCAGACUCCUACGGGAGGCAGCAGUGGGGAAUAUUGGACAAUGGGGGAACCCUGAUCCAGCCAUGCCGCGUGUGUGAAGAAGGCCUUAUGGUUGUAAAGCACUUUAAGCGAGGAGGAGGCUACUUUAGUUAAUACCUAGAGAUAGUGGACGUUACUCGCAGAAUAAGCACCGGCUAACUCUGUGCCAGCCGCCGCGGUAA